GAUGAACGCUGGCGGCGUGCCUAAUACAUGCAAGUCGAGCGAACGGACGAGAAGCUUGCUUCUCUGAUGUUAGCGGCGGACGGGUGAGUAACACGUGGAUAACCUACCUAUAAGACUGGGAUAACUUCGGGAAACCGGAGCUAAUACCGGAUAAUAUUUUGAACCGCAUGGUUCAAAAGUGAAAGACGGUCUUGCUGUCACUUAUAGAUGGAUCCGCGCUGCAUUAGCUAGUUGGUAAGGUAACGGCUUACCAAGGCAACGAUGCAUAGCCGACCUGAGAGGGUGAUCGGCCACACUGGAACUGAGACACGGUCCAGACACCUACGGGAGGCAGCAGUAGGGAAUCUUCCGCAAUGGGCGAAAGCCUGACGGAGCAACGCCGCGUGAGUGAUGAAGGUCUUCGGAUCGUAAAACUCUGUUAUUAGGGAAGAACAUAUGUGUAAGUAACUGUGCACAUCUUGACGGUACCUAAGCAGAAAGCCACGGCUAACUACGU
rnacentral:rRNA from 1 species